GACGAGCGCUGGCGGCGUGCUUAACACAUGCAAGUCGAACGGAAAGGCCCUGCUUUUGUGGGGUGCUCGAGUGGCGAACGGGUGAGUAACACGUGAGUAACCUGCCCUUGACUUUGGGAUAACUUCAGGAAACUGGGGCUAAUACCGGAUAGGAGCUCCUGCUGCAUGGUGGGGGUUGGAAAGUUUCGGCGGUUGGGGAUGGACUCGCGGCUUAUCAGCUUGUUGGUGGGGUAGUGGCUUACCAAGGCUUUGACGGGUAGCCGGCCUGAGAGGGUGACCGGCCACAUUGGGACUGAGAUACGGCCCAGACUCCUACGGGAGGCAGCAGUGGGGAAUAUUGCACAAUGGGCGGAAGCCUGGUGCAGCAACGCCGCGUGCGGGAUGACGGCCUUCGGGUUGUAAACCGCUUUCGCCUGUGACGAAGCGUGAGUGACGGUAAUGGGUAAAGAAGCACCGGCUAACUACGUG
rnacentral:rRNA from 1 species